rnacentral:rRNA from 1 species
GAUGAACGCUGGCGGCGUGCCUAACACAUGCAAGUAGGACGAAGUUGCGAACGGGAGAGUAACGCGUAGGCAACUGCCGAGUAGAGGGGGAUAACUAUAGGAAACGAUAGCUAAUACCGCCUAAUAGUAGAAGGACCUGAGUUGUAGUGGCAAGUAGGUAGGGUAAUGGCCUACCUAGGCGAUGAUACAUAGCCGACCUGAGAGGGUGAUUGGCCAAACUGGGACUGAGACACGGCCCAGACUCCUACGGGAGGCAGAAGUGGGGAAUCUUCGGCAAUGGGCGAAAGUCUGACCGAGCAACGCCGCGUGAGUGAAGAAGGUUUUCGGGUCGUAAAACUCUGUUGUUAGAGAAGCGGUAUCUAACCAGGAAGCCACGGCUAACUACGUGCCAGCCGCCGCGGUAAUUC